rfam:Oryza sativa Japonica Group DNA, chromosome 8, cultivar: Nipponbare, complete sequence.
UUUUAGGUUUCCGUGUCCAACGUUUUACUGUCCAUCUUAUUUAAAAAAAUUAUGAAAAAAUUUAAAAGUACAAGUCACACAUAAAGUAUUAAUCAUGUUUUAUCAUCUAACAACAAUAAAAAUACUAAUCAUAAAAAAAUUUCAUAUAAGACGGACAGUCAAACGUUGUACACAAAAACUCAGGAAUUGAGUCUUC